UUUAUUCUUUAAAUUGUUUUUCAAAGUUGAUAUUUUUUAUUAUAAAUUAAAUUAAUUAUCAUUUAAUUAGCGAAUAUAUUUUUAAAAAUUAUAGAAAUAUUAUUUAAUAAAUUUAAAAUUAACAUGUGUGCAUCGUACAUGACAUGAGAACUUAUAAGAAAAAAACAGUUUGCGUUUGAUACAUAUUACACUUUAUUUGUUUAAAUUCAUAUUAAAAUAUAUAUGAAUAAUUAAAAUAUUGAAUAGUUAAUUAAAUUUAAGAUUUAUAUAUUUUUGGUUUAAGUAUUAAUGAAGUGUUAAGAUUUACUUCAUUAUUGUUUCAUUCAUUAAUAUCCAAUACAAUGAUCAUUACCAUUCAAAUGUGUAAAAUUUAUGUAGCACUUUAUAUUAAAUGUGAAAAUUAAUUUGUGAAAGAUGAUUAAACAUGCUUUAAAUAUUAAUGGAUGAAAUGUAAUAUGAAUGAUGAUUAAACAUGCAUUGAAUAUUAAAUGUCAGCCAUUAUGAAUACAACUAUGCAAAUCUUGUGGAAUAACGUUUCGACUUAAAUGUUCAAGCCAAUUAGGGGAAUUAGAUAAGAUUGUCCUUUCUCACCUUAUCUGCUCGUUCUGUGCAUGGAUUGGUUGUGUUAGGCAGUGAUGACGUUCAGGGGGGAGACUGUGUGGUGUCCUCGGAUUUUGUCAUGUUCUGAAUAUUGGUUCAUAUCUAAGAGUUCCCCUCUUCCAUGAAAGAAUCACUAAUAGCUCCUUGAGAUUUGUGGUGCAGAAAGUUAAGGCCAAGCUUCAGCGUUGGGAGGCAAGACAACUGUCUUUAACUGGAAAAGUCACGUUAGCCUAGUCAGUACUUUUCACAAUUCCUAGUUACUUCAUGUAAUCAUUGAUGAUCUCAAGAUGUAUCUGUAAAGAGAUUGAACGCAUUGCUAGACAAUUCAUAUAGUGGAAUUUUGGAGGGGGCAAUAAGUUGGCUUUUGUUAAUUGGCAAUCAAUUUGUUAACCAAAGGCUUGUGGAGGGCUUCGGUUGCAACGGUUUUCGGAUCAAAGUACCUCUUUUAUGUUAGAAUUGGAGUAUAAUAUUCUAUCAAA